UUUGGAAAUUUAUAUUUAGUAAAUAAAAGUUAAAAAAAUAAUGAAAAAAAGAAAUAGCAUCAGAUGGAUCUGGCUUAGUGUCAUAGCAGGUAAAGCUGCCAUGUGUUACAAAAGCAUCCCAUACCUGUGCCAGUUUGUGUCCUGGCUGCUCCACUUCAACUCCACUCCCUGCUAGUGCCUAGGAAAAGCAGCAGAAGAUAACCUAAGUGUUUGGGCCCCUGCCACCCAUGAGGGAGACACAAAUGAAGUUCCUGGCUCCUGACUUUGGUUUGGCCAGGGGUUGGCUAUGGGGCCAACUGGAAAGUGAACCAGUGGAUAGAGGAUCUUUCUCUGUCUCUCUGUUAUUGGACUUUCAAAUAAAUGUCCUUUCAAAUAAAUUGUCCUUGUCUACAAGUGCAUUGCUGCGGUCCAGUUAAUGGUGGUCUGACAACAAUAUGCCACUCUUUAAGAACUGGGUUAUGCCGCUCUUUAAGCGCCAGAUUGGGAGCUCCAUACAUCCGCCCACGGCCACUGCCAAGAUGUAGAGAUACACUACAUCAUACCCUGAGUUGCUGAGGUGGUAGCCAGUGACGGGUAAGAUCCCCGGGACAGCCCUUACCAGCUGGAGUGGUAGUCAAGGACGGGUAAGAUCCCCAGAGGGGGACAACCUAAGACAGACAUGCUCCCUAAAGGGCUGAUCCCACUCAGAGGGGACAACCUAAGACAGGCACACUCUCCGCUCAGUUCCUCUUCCUCUCUUUAAUAUAAAACAAAAAAGGGGGAAUCUGUGGGGAAAUUAGGCACACGUGGCAAUUCAAAGAUGGCGCCCAAAGGAAGUAAGGUGGGCGGUGCCCAAAGUCGUUUACCACCAAAGCUGAUUGGCCGCACAGCAUCUUUACAAUUAAGGAAUAGAGCCGGAUAACCCAGGAAGAAUUGUGGAGCUUCCUUUUAUUUUUAGCUCCUGCUAUCAGGACUGUGGUAACUCAGCUCAUUGAUGUAUGUGGAAGUGCUUUCUUAGAAUUAUCCUUUCCUAAUAAAGAUAUUUCUCUAUAAAUGGCUCUAAAAUCUUAGAAAAAUAGACCAUCUACAUAAUAUUCUCAGGACCAGGGAACUUAACUUUGGAAAGUUUCAUCUAUUCAAAUAUUAUUCAGAUAUCACGUUCUUAUAGUAUGGUGGCUACAUAGGUUAGAUAUCAGAGUGUUAAGCUAAUUUUUUAAUAUAGCCUAAUAUAAUCAACUUUUAUUCUUUGAUUUGCUGCAGUUCAGAGAGAGGAUUUCCAAUUCUGAUAUUUUAAAAUAUUCUCCUGUGAGUUUUUUUUCACUUUAACGGAUUUGUCAUCUUCCAUUAAAUCUUUGAGCUUUUGGAAUUUCUGCUUCUAAAAUGUUUGAAGUUUGGUUCCAACAUUUUUCCAGUUGGGCACCAUUUAUUACAAGCCUUUCAUUGUUUAAGUGCACAGAUUAUUAUUUAGUUUCAGAGGAAGAUUAAUAUUCCAUUGAGUAUCAGUGAAAAUUCCUUUUUAUUUUUAAAAUUUUAUAUAUAUAUAUAUAUAUUCUCAUUUUAUUUAAAGUGGAGUGGCAUAGACUAACAAUGAGGGAUAGUCCAUAUGCUGGUUUAUUUGCAACAUGUCCACAGCAGCAGUUGGUUGGGCUGAAGCCAGAAGUUCAAAACAUUUGAAUUCUCAAAUGGGUGGCAGGAACCCAAGGACUUGUUCUGUCAUCUUUUGCCUCCCAGAAUGCGCAUUAGUAGGAAGACACAUCAGAAGUGGAGGAGCCAUGACUUGAGCGAGGAACUUGGGUGUGGGAUUUGAGUAUCCCAAGCAAUGAUUUAGCUCCUGAGACAAUUGCCCAUCCCCUUACUUAGGUUUUCAGUGGACAUAAAAAGGAAAAUGACACGCUACAUAAAAUUCACUUACUUUAAAAUUGCAUCAUGAAGACUGGAAAUAGUACAAUAAAUUUCAGAACAUGGAAAAAGAAAAUAUUUUGAGAAUAUCACAAUUUUAAAAGAUUGCUUCAGCAGUCUUUAAAAUCAUUUGUAAAUGAGUGAGGAAACAUUAACAAAAACAAUGAUCUAGUCUAGUGUACAGCUUAAUAUUCUGGCUGUUAAUAUUAGAAUGCUACAUUCUAAACUGGAUCAUGAGAAACAAAAAAUUAAAAAGUGAAAAUUGAACACAUCUAUCAAAAAGCAGAGACUGUAGGGCCAGUGCUGUGUUCUAGCAGGUAAAGCCGCCUGCUGUGCUGGCAUCCCAUAUGGGUACCGGUUCAUGUCCCAGCUGCUCUACUUCUAAUCCAGCUCUCUGUUGUGGCCUUGUAAAGCAGAAGAUGGCCCAAGUACUUGGGACCCUGCACCCACGUGAGAGACUAGAAGAAGCUCCUGGCUCCUGAAUCCUUGCUUUGGAUCAGUGUAGCUCUGGCCAUUGUGGCCAUUUGGGGAGUGAACCAGUGGAUGGAAGACUGUCUCUUUCUCUCUCUCUCUCCCCCUUCGUCCAUCUGUCCCUCCCUCCCUCCCUUUCUCUGCCUCCCUGUAACUCUGCCUUUCAAAUAAAUAAAUAUUUAAAAAAACAUAGACUGAAACACAAGCUAAAUCAUCUGGUACUAGACUGACUACUAUAUACCCAAUUAUGAUCAAAGUUAGAUAUCAAUAAUAGACCUGAACUUUCAUUUCUGGAGAACAAGAGAUGAGAGAUUUUGUUUUAUGACAAAAUGAAUUUUUAUGUGUGAAGCAUAAAAGAUAAAAACGAAAUUCUUGUUUCUGGCAUUGUUUGCACUGUGUUCUAAGCCACCACUUGUGAUGUAUACAUCCCAUAUCUAAUGUUGAAUCAAGUCCCAUCUAAGAAUUAGUCAGAAAUUAUGUAUAUGCUUAGAUUGAUGGGUGAAAAUAUUUUCCGUGUACAUUGUAGGCUUCAGUCUGAAAUUUUGGAAAUGAAAGAUAUCGUCAAACUGCAUGCUGGCAGUAUUGAAGAGCUGCAGAAAAAUCUGCUUUUCCAAUAGCUUCCGGAUGAAAGUACUCAAGUUGACUUAACUUCUUCUAUAAAUAGCAAAAUCAGCAAUGCUCCAGCAAAUAAUUGAUGAGUAACUUCUGUAGUGAAGCCAUUCUGCUAAACAGUGGAAUCUCGUCUGAAGCCGGUGGAAACCAGAGCAUGAGAAUAUUAAACACAAAUUAUGUUUUAUUAUUCA